AAAGUCGUAACAAGGUUUCCGUAGGUGAACCUGCGGAAGGAUCAUUACCGAGUUAGGGCCCCGACCGCCGGGGCCCGACCUCCCAACCCUGUGUCUAUCUAAACCUGUACGUGUUGCUUCGGCCGACCGGUGGUCUCUCUCUCGUCUUUGGCGGGGGUGGUUCGCUGCCGGGGGGAAACUACAUCAGCCCCCCUGGAGAGUGUCGGCCGAUGGCCCAACCAAAAUUCUUAACCACAAACAUGAACUGAAUCUUGUCGUUUCUCCGAUACUUAUCGGGGAGUAAACAAAAACUAAAAAACUUUCAACAACGGAUCUCUUGGUUCUG
rnacentral:misc_RNA from 1 species